GUAAAAUACCUUAUGAUCAUCUUUUGUAUUUGAUGGUUUAACAAAGAAAGAGAAGAAUGUAAAGCUUAUUUUGAGGUAAAUGUGUUGUAAGAAAGAAAUGAUGAGAUUAUGUAAGAACAGCAAAGAAUCUUAAAGGUAAGAGAUGGACGCAAUGUAUAUGAUCUAAAAUGAAUCAUAUUACGUGUGUAGAAUGUUUAGUUUCCUUUUUCUUUCACUUAUGGCUACUGCUUACCCUCGUGUAAGCCGUUGUGUAUGUUUCCGCUAGUGCUUUUCUCUAUUGAUG
rnacentral:lncRNA from 1 species